AAGAAAAAUUUCUUCUAGCUCACAAAUGGCUAUUGUUCUCGUGACAUACUUGAUACACAUAUAUAUGUGCAUGCCAAGAAGGGAAAAAAAGGAAAAAAGAAAGAAAGAAAAGAAGAACAAAAUUUACAUGGGAUGCAAUCUGAAAAAGGCUAUUAAGUUUCUUUAAUAUCCAUGGCAGAGUAGAACGUACCUUGAAGAACAACAAUUUUGCAUUACUUUUUACCCUAAAUUAAACAAACCAAAACUAUAUUAAUUCUAAUUAAGUUUCUUUCUACAUCAAGAUUGCAUAGCGCAUACUAUCAUUUACCAUAAGAUGAUUCAUCUCAGACAACUGAGCAAACUCACCACCAGAAACCCACAGCCCAUCAGCACCACUGGGAUGAGGUUGAGAGAAGCAAGAAAGAAGAGAUAAUGGUGAUAGAACAAUCCUAAACAUAGCAGAAAACCCACUUCUCCCUCUAUGUGGCCUCUCCAUAUCACGAACAAAAAUUGGAUACUCAGCUCCAUUAUUAAUAUUCAUGCCUCCAAACAUGCUUUCAUCUGCUACUCGAGGGCUUUUCCUUAUGUUCUGCAUGUUUCGCCUAAGUCUUGCCAAGCUACGCCACAUCUUAUAUAUGUUGUUUGGAUAACUGGAAAAAUAAUCUUUGCCGGAUAUGGGGAGUGGGUUUUGUAGCUAGCUAGGUUUUCAUGAUUACCAGGAUUGGAAGGGAAGGGAAGGGAAGGCAA
rnacentral:misc_RNA from 1 species